UGGGGGAUAUUGCACAAUGGGGGAAACCCUGAUGCAGCGACGCCGCGUGAGCGAUGAAGUAUUUCGGUAUGUAAAGCUCUAUCAGCAGGGAAGAAAAUGACGGUACCUGACUAAUCAGCCCCGGCUAAUUACGUGCCAGCAGGCGAGGUAAUACGUAGGGGGCAAGCGUUAUCCGGAUUUACUGGGUGUAAAGGGAGAGUAGACGGCUGUGCAAGUCUGAAGUGAAAGGCGGGGGCUCAACCCCCGGACUGCUUUGGAAACUGUGCAGCUAGAGUGUCGGAGAGGCAAGUGGAAUUCCUAGUGUAGCGGUGAAAUGCGUAGAUAUUAGGAGGAACACCAGUGGCGAAGGCGGCUUGCUGGACGAUGACUGACGUUGAGGCUCGAAAGCGUGGGGAGCAAACAGG
rnacentral:rRNA from 1 species